CUGGUUGAUCCUGCCAGUAGUCAUAUGCUUGUCUCAAAGAUUAAGCCAUGCAUGUGUAAGUAUGAACUAAUUCAGACUGUGAAACUGCGAAUGGCUCAUUAAAUCAGUUAUAGUUUGUUUGAUGGCAUCUACAACUCGGGUAACCGUAGUAAUUUUGGAGCUAAUAAGUGCAACAAACCCCGACUUCUGGAAGGGAUGCAUUUAUUAGAUAAAAGGUCGACGCAGGCUCUGCUUGUGGCUUUGAUGAUUCAUGAUAACUCGUCGGAUCACACAACCCUUGUGCUGGCGACGCAUCAUUCAAAUUUCUGCCCUAUCAACUUUCGAUGGUAGGAUAGUGGCCUACCAUGGUGGUGAUGGGUGACGAAGAAUUACGGUUCGAUUUCGAAGAGGGAGCCUGAGAAACAGCUACCACAUCCAAGGAAGGCAGCAGGCGCGCAAAUUACCAAAUCCUAACACAGGGAGGUAGUGACAAUAAAUAAUAAUACCGGGCUCAUUGAGUCUGGU
rnacentral:ncRNA from 1 species